CACGUAGGGCGCAAGCGUUGUCCGGAAUUAUUGGGCGUAAAGAGCUCGUAGGCGGUCUGUUGCGUCUGCUGUGAAAACCCGGGGCUUAACCCCUGGCUUGCAGUGGAUACGGACAGACUAGAGGUAGGUAGGGGAGAAUGGAAUUCCCGGUGUAGCGGUGAAAUGCGCAGAUAUCGGGAGGAACACCGGUGGCGAAGGCGGUUCUCUGGGCCUUACCUGACGCUGAGACGCGAAAGCGUGGGGAGCAAACAGG
rnacentral:rRNA from 1 species